rnacentral:rRNA from 1 species
GUGCCAGCCGCCGCGGUAAUACGUAGGGGGCGAGCGUUGUCCGGAAUGACUGGGCGUAAAGGGCGCGUAGACGGCUGUCUAAGUCUGGAGUGAAAGUCCUGCUUUCAAGGUGGGAAUUGCUUUGGAGACUGGAUGGCUUGAGUGCGGAAGAGGUAAGUGGAAUUCCCAGUGUAGCGGUGAAAUGCGUAGAGAUUGGGAGGAACACCAGUGGCGAAGGCGACUUACUGGGCCGUAACUGACGUUGAUGCGCGAAAGCGUGGGGAGCGAACAGGAUUAGAUACCCCCGUAGUCC